rnacentral:rRNA from 1 species
UACGUAGGGGGCGAGCGUUGUCCGGAGUUACUGGGCGUAAAGCGCACGCAGGCGGUCUGCUAAGUUUGGAGUGACAGUUGGUGGCUUAACUGCCAAAGUGCUUCGAAAACUGACAGACUUGAGGGCUUCAGAGGGACACGGAAUUCCGGGUGGAGUGGUGAAAUGCGUAGAUAUCAGGAGGAACACCUGUGGCGAAAGCGGCUCACUGGACCAUAACUGACGCUGAUGCACGAAAGCUAGGGGAGCAAACAGG